rnacentral:rRNA from 1 species
UCAUAUGCUUGUCUCAAAGAUUAAGCCAUGCAUGUCUAAGUGCAUGCCGCAUUAAGGUGAAACCGCGAAUGGCUCAUUAAAUCAGUUAUGGUUCCUUAGAUCGUACCAUCCUACUUGGAUAACUGUGGUAAUUCUAGAGCUAAUACAUGCCGACCAGCUCCGACCCUCGUGGGACGAGCGCUUUUAUUAGAACAAGACCAAUACGGAUCGGCAACGGUCCGUCUCUCUUUGGUGACUCUGGAUAACUUGAAGCAGAUCGCACGGUCCUAGCACCGGCGACGCAUCUUUCAAAUGUCUGACUUAUCAACUGUCGAUGGUAGGUUAUAUGCCUACCAUGGUUGUAACGGGUAACGGGGAAUCAGGGUUCGAUUCCGGAGAGGGAGCCUGAGAAACGGCUACCACAUCCAAGGAAGGCAGCAGGCACGCAAAUUACCCACUCCCGGCACGGGGAGGUAGUGACGAAAAAUAACAAUACGAGACUCUUCCGAGGCCUCGUAAUUGGAAUGAGUACACUUUAAAACCUUUAACGAGGAUCUAUUGGAGGGCAAGUCUGGUGCCAGCAGCCGCGGUAAUUCCAGCUCCAAUAGCGUAUAUUAAAGUUGUUGCGGUUAAAAAGCUCGUAGUUGGAUCUCGGUGCCGGACCGGCGGUCCGCCUCGUUGCGGUACACUGCCGGCCCCGGAGCCAUCCCGCCGGCCGUCCCUCGGUGCUCUUCGCUGAGUGUCUUGGGUGACCGGAACGUUUACUUUGAACAAAUUAGAGUGCUCAAAGCAGGCGCGUACCGCCCGCAUAGCCCAGCAUGGAAUAAUGGAAUAGGACCUCGGUUCUAUUUUGUUGGUUUUCGGAACCCGAGGUAAUGAUUAAUAGGGACAGACGGGGGCAUUCGUAUUGCGACGCUAGAGGUGAAAUUCUUGGACCGUCGCAAGACGAACUACUGCGAAAGCAUUUGCCAAGAAUGUUUUCAUUAAUCAAGAACGAAAGUUAGAGGUUCGAAGGCGAUCAGAUACCGCCCUAGUUCUAACCAUAAACGAUGCCGACCAGCGAUCCGCCGGAGUUCCUCCGAUGACUCGGCGGGCAGCUUCCGGGAAACCAAAGUGUUUGGGUUCCGGGGGAAGUAUGGUUGCAAAGCUGAAACUUAAAGGAAUUGACGGAAGGGCACCACCAGGAGUGGAGCCUGCGGCUUAAUUUGACUCAACACGGGGAAACUCACCCGGCCCGGACACCGGAAGGAUUGACAGAUUGAGAGCUCUUUCUUGAUUCGGUGGGUGGUGGUGCAUGGCCGUUCUUAGUUGGUGGAGCGAUUUGUCUGGUUAAUUCCGAUAACGAACGAGACUCUAGCCUGCUAAAUAGCUGGCCCAUACGAUCGGUGUGCCGUGCCCUCACUCGUGGGGGUUGCGGUCUCCGGAGUGGGUCACUCGCUUCUUAGAGGGACAAGCGGCGCUCAGCCGCGCGAGAUUGAGCAAUAACAGGUCUGUGAUGCCCUUAGAUGUCCGGGGCCGCACGCGCGCUACAAUGGAAGGUUGAGCAGGUCUGUUUCCCUAGUCCUAGAGGACCGGGUAACCCUGUGAGAUCCUUUCUUGGUUGGAAUCGGGGCCUGGAACCAACCCCGUGAACUAGGAAUUCCUAGUAGGCGCGAGUCAUCAACUCGCGCCGAUUACGUCCCUGCCCUUUGUACACACCGCCCGUCGCUACUACCGAUUGAAUGAUUUAGUGAGGUCUUCGGACUGGCGGUCGCGGCGGCUCUCGAGUCGCGGCGGCGUGCCGGGAAGAUGACCGAACUUGACCAUUUAGAGGAAGUAAAAGUCGUAACAAGGUUUCC